AAAACGGGUAAAAACCCCGUUCGCCGGAAGACCAAGGGUUCCUGUCCAACGUUAAUCGGGGCAGGGUGAGUCGGCCCCUAAGGCGAGGCUGAAAAGCGUAGUCGAUGGGAAACGGGUUAAUAUUCCCGUACUUGGAUAAACUGCGAUGUGGGGACGGAGCAGGUUAGGUUAUCGCACUGUUGGAUAUGUGCGUUUAAGUUGGUAGGUGUGAAGUUUAGGCAAAUCCGGACUUCUUUAACACCGAGAGAUGAUGACGAGGCUCUACGGAGCUGAAGUAACCGAUACCACACUUCCAGGAAAAGCCACUAAGCUUCAGGUUUAUCUAAACCGUACUGAAAACCGACACAGGUGGUCAGGUAGAGAAUACUCAGGCGCUUGAGAGAACUCGGGUGAAGGAACUAGGCAAAAUAGCACCGUAACUUCGGGAGAAGGUGCGCCGGCGUAGAUUGUAGUCCCUAGCGGGCGAAGGUUGAACCGGUCGAAGAUACCAGCUGGCUGCAACUGUUUAUUAAAAACACAGCACUCUGCAAACACGAAAGUGGACGUAUAGGGUGUGAUGCCUGCCCGGUGCUGGAAGGUUAAUUGAUGGUGUAAUCGAAAGAGAAGCUCCUGAUCGAAGCCCCAGUAAACGGCGGCCGUAACUAUAACGGUCCUAAGGUAGCGAAAUUCCUUGUCGGGUAAGUUCCGACCUGCACGAAUGGCAUAAUGAUGGCCAGGCUGUCUCCACCCGAGACUCAGUGAAAUUGAAAUCGCCGUGAAGAUGCGGUGUACCCGCGGCUAGACGGAAAGACCCCGUGAACCUUUACUAUAGCUUGACACUGAACAUUGAAUUUUGAUGUGUAGGAUAGGUGGGAGACUUUGAAGAUGAUACGCCAGUAUUGUUGGAGUCGUCCUUGAAAUACCACCCUUUAACGUUUGAUGUUCUAACGAAGAUUACGAAACGUGGUCUCGGACAGUGUCUGGUGGGUAGUUUGACUGGGGCGGUCUCCUCCCAAAGAGUAACGGAGGAGCACGAAGGUUUGCUAAUGACGGUCGGACAUCGUCAGGUUAGUGCAAUGGUAUAAGCAAGCUUAACUGCGAGACAGACAAGUCGAGCAGGUACGAAAGUAGGUCAUAGUGAUCCGGUGGUUCUGAAUGGAAGGGCCAUCGCUCAACGGAUAAAAGGUACU
rnacentral:rRNA from 1 species